rnacentral:lncRNA from 8 species
AUGCGUUUGUGUGUUUGCUUACAGGAUGAUUUGGAUCAACGCCGCACAAUUAGCAGUAGUAUGGAUUCACUGGAGCUGCAGACCGAGGCUUUGCGUCACAUGCUCACUUCUGAUGUCUGCAGCAUGGACAGUGUGAAGACUGCUCUGAUGGAGCUGAGCCAUCUGCGUCCUGCCCUGGAUGACCUCACUGAGGCAAGCCUUUCUGGGACCCUGGAUGGCCUGGAAGCAGAUAGACUGAAGUCCCUGACCAGGAAGUGGGCACAGGCCCUCUACUGCACCUCCCACAUGAACAGAAAAUUGCAAGCUGAUGCCCAGCACUCCCAGAGCCUUCAACAGAAGUGGGACAGCUGGGAGGGCUUCCAGGAGAAGAUGGAGGAGGACUUGGCCCCAGACGUUUCUGGAAACUACUCCGGCCUCCGUGAGCAACUGGCAAUCCAUCAGAGACUCCGGAUUGAAGUAUUGGCUGGGCACCAACUCUUGAGAGGGGUGAUCGUCAACUCAAUGAGGUCAAUUGAAGACACACCAGAGGAGAAAAGGUAA